UACGUAGGGUGCAAGCGUUGUCCGGAAUCAUUGGGCGUAAAGCGCGCGUAGGUGGCUUCGUAAGUCCGUUGUGAAAGUCAAAGGCUCAACCUUUGAAUGCCGAUGGAUACUGCGAAGCUAGAGUACGGAAGAGGCGAGUGGAAUUCCUGGUGUAGCGGUGGAAUGCGCAGAUAUCAGGAGGAACACCAAUAGCGAAGGCAGCUCGCUGGGACGUUACUGACACUAAGGCGCGAAAGCGUGGGGAGCAAACAGGG
rnacentral:rRNA from 1 species